GUUUCCAUAGUGUAGUGGUCAUCGCGUUUGCCUCACAAGCAAAAGGUCCUAGUUUCAAAACCGGGUGGAAACA